GACGAACGCUGGCGGCGUGCUUAACACAUGCAAGUCGAACGGAGUGGCGAACGGGUUAGUAACACGUGGGUGAUCUGCCUUGCACUUCGGGAUAAGCUUGGGAAACUGGGUCUAAUACCGGAUAGUGCAAGAUGAGCUCGCGGCCUAUCUGCUUGUUGGUGGGGUAUUGGCCUACCCAGGCGUCGACGGGUAGCCGGCCUGGGUGGGUGUACGGGAACAUGGGGACUGGGAGACGGCCCAGAGUCCUACGGGAGGCAGCAGUGGGGAAUAUGGCACAAUGGGCGGAAGCCUGAUGCAGCGACGCCGCGUGGGGGAUGAAGGCCUUCGGGUUGUAAACUCCUUUCGACAGGGACGCGGUACCUGUAGAAGAAGCACCGGCUAACUACGUGCCAGCAGCCGCGGUAAUAC
rnacentral:rRNA from 1 species